UACAGAGGGUGCGAGCGUUAAUCGGAAUUACUGGGCGUAAAGGGUGCGUAGGUGGUUGCUUAAGUUGGGUGUGAAAGUCCUGGGCUUAACCUGGGGACUGCGCCUGAUACUGGGUAGCUAGAGUAUUGUAGAGGGGAGCGGAAUUUCCGGUGUAGCGGUGAAAUGCGUAGAUAUCGGAAGGAACAUCGGUGGCGAAGGCGGCUUUCUGGACAAAUACUGACACUGAGGCACGAAAGCAUGGGGAGCGAACAGG
rnacentral:rRNA from 1 species